AAUUCAUUUACUGCGUAAAAGGAGUAUAAAUAAAACCAAAAAGCUCCGAAUAAUCAAUCUCUCCUUUUCCGUUCUCCGAUGAUUUCCGAUAUCCACGACCCGAACAAGUAAUCGGGCAGGAGAAAUGCUCAUCACAAACGAAGGGCCGCGCGACAUGCAUACCCGUAACAUAUAUAUCUGUCGUGACGGUCCAAAACUUUGGUUACAUCCGUCAAAAUGGUGAACGGCCUAGACUUGGGACACUAGGAAAAUCACCUCGGUUGCUUUUCCCUCUUAUACCAAAUGUUCAUUGAGAUUGCCUUACGGUUGAACUGCUCCCUGCAUCUGCCGAGUGUUAGUUUGGGCGGAACAUGCAUACCACCUCCCACUUGACAACAAGGAUGUGCGAAUGUCCCUCCUACUUAUUGAGCUAUGUAUUCUGUCCAGGAAGCGGACAGGCAAGGCCUGGAAGACUCAGAGAUCUUUUGACAGGAUAUCUCAAUCUCCCAAUCCCCUCACGCCUAGCGUUGAUUCCAGCCAAAAUAUACAGCGGAUGUCGCCCGACCGACAUAAUACACAUCUACUGUUCGCACUGAAGCUCAACCUUCCAGAAGUAAGCCCGGCAGUCCAGCGGCAAGCGCUAACGGUCGCUCCUGAUGCUCCAGCUAAUACCGAUUUGCUUUCAUGAAAAAUGUCAGACCUAUCCAAACACACCAUUCUUGCUCUCCGGCAGGGUGAGGAUCUCCCGCAAAUGGGCUUCUAUACAUGGGCCAGCCUGCAAGACAGGGGACCCCUGGUAUCGAAAUCCCCCUCACCUUGAUUACUGCUGGCAAUAUUUAUUGUCUAGUGUGAGGUUAUAAUUCCCACUCAAUUAUAUAUACUAAGUGGCGGCCGGGCUUGCUUCAAAUUUGGAAUCUUUCUCGAGGAAAUUAUUCCUCCGGGCAAGAACCCAUUCGAAUUGGAGUUGGCUAUUUGGAAUAUAUCCCCAAUCCAAUAAGUACUAGCAUCUUACGAGGCUCGGGGAGGAGCAACCCCUAUCUACUUUCCCGUUUUAUCGGGCAAAUAGGAUACCAAAGGACACCCUGGCUUUUGGCAUUUUGAACACUACAACUGUAGCUUCUGAAUUGGGGGAACCGGUUAAAGAGUAGCUCUUUUUGCGUUGCUAGCCAUGCUUGACAUUUUAGCUGAUUUGCCCUAGAGCAGGCCAAACGUGUACGAAUCUCGUAUCUACAAAGUGGGCGAGGGACGGGUACAUGGAGCCUGUAUCCGGGACCAGCCGUUCAGAGUUGAAACUGGACUGGUUUCAGAGAGGUCUUUCGAAGGGCAUGGGAAGUGGGUAGUAAAGUUCAGCUUAUAGGGUGUCUUGCUGAUAAAAACAAUGGGGGGCUUUAAGUAGUGGCGAAUACUGCUUAUAGAACCUCUCUUUUCUUUGAAUUACGUUCUCUGGUGAAGUUGUGCACUUCGUUUCCUUUCACAAAAAGCACAGUCAUGAUGAUACUGGGACUGUUGAUCCCCAUGUUUUUAUUCUGUUAGGUUUGCUCUCAACACGUAAUGUUGCGCUUCUUCAAGAGAGUUACUACCAGGGCCUAACUUUUAAGCAACAUUUUCAAAAUGAUCCGUAUAAAUUCCGAGGCAGACUUCAUAUUUUCAGUCGUCACCUAGGUCGAAGAAAAUAAUGUAAAACCUCGCUGAAUAAUAAAAAAAAUCAACAUUAAUAAAAAUAAUGUGCUACCUCCCGCCCUUAAAUACACGAGAAAAUAUUGCUUAAUAUGGACUGUCACUUGUAUAUUAAAAAUUCGUAGCAAAUAGCUGGGAUGCAACUGAGAAUUGAUGGCGAGAGAGAAAAACAUCUUAAGGGUCUAGCGAAGAACAAAUGGACUAUGGUUGAACUCUCCAUGGACACGGAUCAUUUCGAUAAGCCGGAUGACAUUCAUUAAUAAAUGUAUUGCCGGGCAGUUCCUGUGGUUCGACAGUGCGUAUUGUAGGGGUUAUGUUUGUCAAAUAGGCCAUGGGUAUAUGGUGGUUGCUAUUAGCUGGAUUAAUCGGAACACUCUGCGUCGUUCCCGUCGUCCACGACUCAUCAUGAGGUUGCUUGGCCGGAUAUUGGUUGUCGGUUGGCGCGAGUUCGUGGGUGCCUUUAGUCGGCUGGCGAAUCAGGUCAUCCACAGUGACUUUGGAGCGUUUCCAUCUGCGGAGAAGCACGACUGCGAUCCCCAAAAAUAAUAGGAUGCCUAACACCGAGCCUGUGACCACGCCGGCAAUUUCUCUGUCGCUCAACCGCCGUGAUUUUGAGAGAAUUUGUUCUGAAGACUCUGAAGAAGCUGGAGAGGU
rnacentral:sRNA from 2 species